UCCAUACUACUCUUUACUCUUUAGUACCAGCUUACAAAUUUUAUUUUUUAUUUAGAUAAAAAAAGAAUCGACACGAAUGAGUUGGAUUUUCUAGACUAAAGAGUUCGGUUUGAAAGGAUCUAAGGAUCCCGAGUGAGAAUGAAACAUUUUUAUUGAAUGAUAAAUAUUUUUUUAAGAAGCUCCAUGGUAGGAGUAUCAUAAAUAAUAAAUUUAAAUAAAGCGAAAACAAAUUAAAUAAAAAGGUGGUAGGAAAAAGGAAAAAAAAAAUUAGAUAAGAUUAAAUCGGAAAUUAUGUAGAUAAUCAAAUUGAAAUGUAAAUUACACGAUUUGGCAAUUAGCCUGAUUUACAGCGCGUCGUGCGUUGUAGGGUUCCUCCAACGAUUACUUUCUAACGGCCAUUUUCUUCAGAAAAAACAGGAAUCGCUCGGGCGAAGGUGGGGUUAAACUCAUGUUUACUCUCCGAGAGUGCCUACUGGCAUACUCAAUUCCGAUGUUUGAGUACAAGUGAUGCCCCCAUCAGAGAAUGAAGGCGAACUCAACCAUUAUCUAUUGAGAAAGACAGAGAGGAGAAGCAGAGUAAGAAGAUAGAGUGAAGAAAAGGAU
rnacentral:lncRNA from 1 species